rnacentral:lncRNA from 1 species
AUACGUUGGUGAUCAAGGUCAAGCUUUUGAAGAUCAUCAGCAGGCUCAGGAGAGCUUUGAUUAAGGCAAGUAUAAUCGGAGAUUAUCCUUGUUACCUAUACACAAUUAAUACAAUAUUUAUCAUAUGCAUGUGUCCACCUUGAUGACCUUAGCAAAAUCAUAGAUGAUUGUUAUCCUGAAUUCCUUGUUACCUAUUUCGGAUAUGCAUUUGGGUAGUUCUUGCUAGUGCUUGAUUAAUAACCCAUAAUCUUGUAAAAUGAAUAUUUGAAUAUACAAUAAACAAUAAAAUAAGCUUUCUAGCAACUUGAACAUAAAAGGUAAAAAGAACUCUAGCUUUUGCUAGAUUGAUCUUGACCCUCCAUAAGGACUUAUCCCUUGGCAAAAGCUGGGACAACUCGUACAAUCAUGAGGGCUACAUGGCUCUGGUUUUAGCUCAGUAUGAGAAUCUUUUUCUAGCUUGUUAGCGGUUACCUUAAGUGGCGUAAGAAUGGCUAGACACGUUGGGUAUAGUGUGGCCUCUGUCCAUGUGUAUAGGCUGCGAGUUAUGUGCCAUGGAAGGGGGGCUCUAUAUCUGCCUGCCGAGUGAAUCUAAUGGCCCUAACUUGUUAGACGAAACCUUUGAAAGGCUUCAUAGUGAUCCCUGCCGACCUUCCUAGGAAGGGGGUUAAGAGACUCAUGACCUCGAGCGAAAGGGUAAAUCACGACUCAUGGGUAAAGAUGUACAACCUCUGCAGAGUGUUAAAUCUGGUAUACUAGCCGUGCCCACGGAUACGGGCGGCCCGGAAAACUGAUGGAAUAGACGGACAUUGAUGAACAUGAAUAAUGAUGAUAAAAGAUGGUUUAUUAUGUUGUUUAUGUGUUAUUCAUAAUUCUUGUAUACAAAUGAUCAUGUGGUUAUGAGAUUUAAUUAUGCUACCUUGACAUUUGCUAUCCAAUAAUAAAUAUGCUAUCUACAUAUAAAAGCUAAAUGUAGUCAAACUAGUGUCAGCUUAUUGAGCCUCAUGAACCCCUGGUUAUAUUUGUUGAGUACGAUAUGUGCUCACUCUUGCAAUUUCCCCCACACCUCAGGAGAAGUUUUGGGCUUGUGAUCAACCAGUCAGUUGGAUCCUAUAGAGUGAAGUUAAUACCCGAAGUUUGGAGUUAUCUAUCCGCUGUUUGAUACUGAAGGUAAGUACGUUAUAUAUUUGUGCAUUGUCUUUUGAUAUUACCCCUUAUCUGUAGCUAUAUGUGAGAUUUGCCUUAUAAACUCGCAUAUGGUGCAUAUCUGGUUUUGUCCUUAAAAUCGGGUAUUACACACACCUAGAUAUUUAUCGAAAAAAUGCAAAAGAACAGAUAAAAGCACAAAAACAUACUUCUGCAUACCUGAGCAACUAUACCAGACAACAUUGACAAUUUAAAGCCGUGAACUGAAGGCCCACGUGACCCCUCCUUUUUACGGCACAACUUUUUACCGCACAACAUAGUUUCUUAUGACUUUCAUCAAAAAAACAUAGUUUCUUAUGACUAGAUGACCAGUGCUAUAUUAUUUUGAAUACAGGCCCUAAAGCACAUAAAAAAUUCCACACUCCAACACCGCCAACCGCCAUGCAAGAUGAGGUUAAGGAACGCCGAAAAAAAUGGACAUGAGAAGAAGAUAGACUGUGGGGCUAUUAACCUUUAUAUCUUCGUGGCUCGAUAUGGCCCAUACCAUUGUGGGUGGUCUGGCCUACAAGAUAAAGAUAUGGCGCACGAUGCUGGUCAACGUGCACCGCAAGGCUACAAGAUAUUAUACCAAAUAGGAUACUUCACUUCUAACUUUGUCAUAGUAUAUAAGAAGGGACAGGGGUCUCUUAGAGGACAACAUAACUCAAUUGAUCUCAUAUCAUCAAUACAAUCAGACGCACGACAUAGGUAUUACGUCCUCACAGCGGCCGUACCUAGAUAAAAUCCUUGUCAGUGUCUUGCGUCACCAUAUAGUUCGUAGCUUGUGCACCUGUCUGCCGACAAUCUACUACCUUGGGCAUACCCUUAGGUAGACUACUAACCAUAUUUUGUCGACAGUGGCGCGCUAGGUACGGGGUGUGCGUACAGCUUCCCAAGCGAGCCAGAUGGUCAUCAUCCUCGACUUCGCGGUCGUGGCGGACAGCCUCAGGUUCACCGUCAGCCAGAUCACCUGGACCACUAGCCUCAACAGCUUCACCGCCACGACCAUGGAGGAGGUGUAGAUCUAAUCUGCGCCAAUCACUUCUUCACCGACGUCGGUUGUAGCUCCAACCACGCCGACCACGUCGACAACGCGUUGCCCACAUCCCUGCUACAAAGGGAGACAGAUCGAGAACGUUGACCCGCUCGGGGCUAUCGACCAAAUUGCUUGGCCUACUUGCUCUGACCACCUGUCAUGUCACAAUAAUGAUCACCGUGAAAAACGGUGCUACGAUAACCACGACCACCGUCAUGACAACACGUCGAAAAGCUCGAGGGCCAAAUAAUUUUAUCGCCACCAACCAGACUUCCGUCCAAACAUAAGUAUAUUUUUAAUAUUUAUUUAUUUUUAGCAUAAUAUUUUCUAUAAUGUCCUUCACAUGAUUAUCCUUUAAAAUAACUUUUUGGUUAGCCGACUAGUUUUUUCUCCUACAGGAGUUUUUCAGAGCCGGCACUGUCUCCGACUCCUCACCACACGUGCAUGAGAUUCGCCCUCUGCGUUCUGGAUGGUUGGCAGUAGCUCUCUGGCGAGGCUGGCAAUCCUAUGUAUGCCUAGACUCCGCUCCUCAUGCUCAAGAUUGUUGGUCAGACUAGAGCUGGUGUAAGUUUUAGAAUGAAUUAACUACUCGUGCUAAUUUUAAUAUAAAAAAAAACUAAAAACUUAUGUCAGUGCUGAUUUUUCUCUAGAGUUUAUUUAUACAUCAUGUAUUACCUAUUCUCCAUGUUUAUUUUUUAGGAGCUUGGCCCAGUCAACAAGCUACACUCGGAGACUCGUCGACCAUUUCCUACACUAUGCUUGGGGAUAGCUCCAACCACCGAGCACGUUUACGUUCCCAACCACACUCGAGGACUCGUUGACCGGUCCCUACGUUGUGCUCGGAGACUAUGCCGACCACCGAGCACAUUUACAUUUCUAACCGCGCUUGGAGACUCGUCAAUCAUUCCCUACGCUGUGCUCGAAGAUUGCUUCGAUCACUGUCCGACCACAGCUUGGAGACUGCUCUCCUCGGUUAUAUAUGAAUUAAACUCAUAUACAACUGAGGAGCGAUUUUAAUUUUUUAGACCUUGCUAUAAGGCUCAUGCUUCGCCUUCCAGCAAGCUUGGAGACUACAUUUCGAUGCAUCUCAGUAUCAGAAUUUCUACGUGGACUUUUUAUUUUUAGACUCUGGCACCACGUUCCUGUGUCACCUAUUGUCAGGCUCGGGGACUAAGUAGACACACUUUACCUUACAGUGAAUAUGCUUGUUUUUUCAAACCUUACACUUUUCAGAAAAGUAAAGUGGGCACACUUCAUCAAGAAAGAAUUUUUUUUCGUAAGAGCACCAUGCAUUAUUCGGAUAACCUGCUUCUUCGGUGUCAAUGGUGGUCGUCUGUCUUCCGAGCUGGCUGAAAUACUGUCGCAACUGCUCGGGCAACUUUCCUGCUGGUCGGAGACGUCAAGCCUCACUGGUCGAAGAAGCUCAAGAUGGUGUGUCGCAUCACAAUACAUGGAGCUCGG